rnacentral:lncRNA from 13 species
UUUGCUGCUGGACUUUCAAUAGCAUGUGGGCCAUUGCUUUAUAGGUAAUUGGUGUUCAAUAAUUGUUGACUUACGGAAUAUAGAAGGGGAGUUUGAGUGAUAUGGGACGUUAUCUGUACUAACGUUUGCCUGGUAGGUCUGCCUUCAUGAGGGAAUAUUAGGGCAAGCCGUGCAUCUUUGUGACUGUGACUCAAGCACUAACAGAAUCUCUCUUGCACUAAAAUAUGCGUCAUUUUCAGCUCCUAAUUGGCCUAGAAAUCUUCUGCCAAUACAAUAUAGCACUCUGAGUGAAGACACUACCUUCAGAUGGCCCUUAUUAGAUUAUUUUUAUGUUAUCUAGGUGGAGAAGAAUGCAAACUCAGUGGCCUCCAUUCACAUCUUAGAAUUCACUUAGUUAUUUGGCCUCCGAAAGAAGGACUCUAAGGAAUGGGACAAAGAAGAAGUGAGUCUGGAUGUGAAGAAGCUCUGUUUGGAUGGACACAUGGGGGUGAUCUGGGACAGAGAAGCCUGGAAAAGCUGAUGAAAGCAGAUUCUCCCUUGAAGAAAGCAUUUGGAAUGAAGCAAUGUGACCUUUAAUCACCCUCAGACCUCUUUUUGCUCUUGUUCCAGGAUAUUCUGUAAAAGAUUUUACUUCACUUGGAUAGCAACCAAGCCAACCAUAUGGAAAGAAAACUAACCUGGUGAGUGGCAAAAUAAGAAAUUAUGAUCCUUGUGUACCUUUGGGUGGCUUUUCAUGGGAUAGAGUCACCAUGUCUUUGAACUUCAGUUUACAGCUCUUAAAAUGGGAAUAUCCUUGGCUUAUAAUAGAGUUACAAGAUUUGAGAAUAUAAUGAAUAUACACAUAAUAAGCAAAUCCUUUUACCAGGAAAGGAGCUCUAUGGAAUAUUUCCCUUUCCUGACCACAAAUAAAUGUUAUUGACUCAUCUGUAGUUCUUCA